UACGGAGGGGGCGAGCGUUAUUCGGAAUCAUUGGGCGUAAAGGGCGCGUAGGCGGCUUCAUAAGUCCUGGGUGAAAGCCCUCGGCUCAACCGAGGAAUUGCCUUGGAUACUGUGAAGCUCGAGGCUGGAAGAGGGCAGUGGAAUUCCCAGUGUAGAGGUGAAAUUCGUAGAUAUUCGGAAGAACACCAGUGGCGAAGGCGACUCACUGGCCCGAUACUGACGCUGAGGCGCGAAAGCGUGGGGAGCAAACAGG
rnacentral:rRNA from 1 species